rnacentral:lncRNA from 1 species
GUGCCCCCACAGUCCUGUGAGGAAUAGGAGGAAAACCUCAUCCUAGCAUGAGCUGAAAUUGACUGUGUCAGGAACAGGAGGAGAACCUCAUCCUGGCAUAAACGAAGACUUGAUCGUUCAAGACUGAAUGAGGAGAAAAGUCUCCUCAAUGGCUCCUCUACACCCCUACAACUCUGUUAGGAGUAGAGAGAAAACCCUCAAUGCCAUCCGGACUUCUCCAAUAAUGAGCUCCUCCAUUCAUCUAUCGGACUGCUCCAAACACUCUUUAGGCUUCACUAUCAGCUAAUUUUCUACAGUGAUCGACUACUCUCCGAAUCUCUUUCAGACUUCUUCCAG